rnacentral:rRNA from 1 species
UACGGAGGGGGCUAGCGUUGUUCGGAAUUACUGGGCGUAAAGCGUACGUAGGCGGCUUUGUAAGUUAGAGGUGAAAGCCCGGGGCUCAACUCCGGAAUUGCCUUUAAGACUGCAUCGCUUGAAUCAUAGAGAGGUGAGUGGAAUUCCGAGUGUAGAGGUGAAAUUCGUAGAUAUUCGGAAGAACACCAGUGGCGAAGGCGACUCACUGGUCCGGUACUGACGCUGAGGUGCGAAAGCGUGGGGAGCAAACAGG